CUCGGCCACAUAAUUGGUCUGAU
rnacentral:snRNA from 1 species